CCUACGGGUGGCAGCAGUCGAGAAUUAUUCACAAUGGGGGAAACCCUGAUGGUGCGACGCCGCGUGGGGGAAUGAAGGUCUUCGGAUUGUAAACCCCUGUCAUGUGGGAGCAAAUUAAAAAGAUAGUACCACAAGAGGAAGAGACGGCUAACUCUGUUCCAGCAGCCGCGGUAAUACAGAGGUCUCAAGCGUUGUUCGGAAUCACUGGGCGUAAAGCGUGCGUAGGCUGUUUCGUAAGUCGUGUGUGAAAGGGGGGGGCUCAACCCGCGGACGGCACAUGAUACUGCGAGACUAGAGUAAAGGAGGGGGAACCGGAAUUCUCGGUGUAGCAGUGAAAUGCGUAGAUAUCGAGAGGAACACUCGUGGCGAAGGCGGGUUCCUGGACAUUAACUGACGCUGAGGCACGAAGGCCAGGGGAGCGAAAGGGAUUAAAUACCCGAGUAGUC
rnacentral:rRNA from 1 species